rnacentral:pre_miRNA from 1 species
CCCACACCCAUGUGUGUAGGACCCCAAAGGAUCACCAUUAAAUUUGACACCGAUCUUUAGAAAAGUUAUCAUAUAUGUGUGGGACUUGACUUUUCUAGAGAUCUUUGCCAAAUUUAAUGAUGAUCCUUUGAAAUCCUACACACAUGGGUGUAGA